rnacentral:lncRNA from 1 species
AAAAUCAACUCCCAAGUGAAAUAUUCCAUUUAUAUUAUCACUUCCACAAUUAAUUAAUUAAAAUCCCCAUAAUCGGAUUCUAGGGUUUCCAAAAAUUUCACUGCCUAAACACCUUGUUAAAACUGAAACAUAAUUAAUCCCUAAGCUUGAGCUCCAAAUUGCACAUAUAUCACAUAAAUUUAACAUUUUAUUAUUACAUGAUAAAACCCUAAAAAUUUUAAUAUAAACCAUACUUAAUCACCUAAAACAAAUGGAAAAUUUCAACCCAAACUUGAAGAUAUCAACCUUACCUUUUUUCCUCUUCUUUUUCUCUUCUUCUUUUUCUCUUUUUCUCUUCUUCUUUUUCUUUCCUUCUUGGCCGGUUCUGCUUCUUCCCGUUUUUAGUGUGUGUGUGUGUGUGAAAUUGGGUGAAAAUUUGGUCAAAUGGUUGAAUAUAUUGUCCAAAACCCAAAAUUUGCAUAAUAAGUCCCUUAACUUCACUUUUUA